UGCCAAUGAUAUAAUUUUACAAUUGCACGUACAAUCAGAUUUUCAGUGAGGUCUGAAAGA
rfam:Brassica napus, WGS project CCCW01000000 data, contig: 3053